rnacentral:rRNA from 1 species
AUGAAUCGAGAUCAAAAGGCAUUGAGCUCCCACUAUGUUGUCAUGGGGAGCCUAUCAAGUUUUUCAAAAUUCAAAGAAAAUAUUGUUACUGACAUAGACACGAAACAUACUAAUUUCAACGCACGCCGAUGGAUGCAGCACAGAUGUAUAGCAAACGAGAGAAGACUUCAAAUCCGUUGCUCUUGGGAGAUAGCGAGUCUGCUUCAUUUAUUAGCCGCCCUAACGCACGACGACAGGAACCGCGCACGGUUCAACUUCAACGGGGAGCAGGUGAGUUCAAGCACGAGAAAUGAACCCCGCGACGCGGUCCAACAUGUCUGCGGCCGCCUCCGUCCCCGGCCGCAUGAGAUGGAACACGUGGUCCUGCCCCGGCGUGUCCACCAGCUCGGCCUCCCCGCGCCACCCGCUCGCGAGCAGCGCCGCGUGGUACGCCCGCCCCUUCACCGCCAGGAAGUCGUCGCCCGCCACGGCCACCAUCGCCCUCUUGCCCGGCAGCGCCGCGAGCCGCGGCGCCGCCACGGCGCACGUCGGGCAGAACCUCGGGUCGUCGACCCCGGCGUCGGGGCGCGCGCACAUGAACCGCCACUCGUUGCGGAUCCUGACCUCCAGCGCCGGCGCCAUGGCGUUGGUCGGGUCCCAGAAGUAGGGGUGCACCAGCAGCACGCCGACGAUGGCCGCGCACGGGCGCGGGAGGCCCUCGGCGGCUGCGCGCAGGGCGACGUUGUGCGCGAUGUUGGCGCCCGCACUGUCGCCGGCGAGGAACACGCGGGACGCGUCCCCGUGCGCCGCGAGCCACGGCUCGGGGCCUCCCGGUGCGGAGCCGGCGACCGCCCACGCCAGGGCCGCCCACGAGUCGUCGUAGGCCGCGGGGAGCGGGUGCUCCGGCACGCGGCGGUACUCCACGGACACCGCGAGCGCGCCCGCGCGGGCGGCGAGCGCGUUGAGGUAGCGGUGGUACGUCGGGGAGGCCGCCGUCUCGACCAUGAACCCGCCGCCGUGGAAGUACACGAGGACGGGCAGCUUCUUGCCUUCGCCCCCGGACGCCGCAGCCGCUGGCGGGAGGUAGAGGCGGACGGAGACGCCGGUGGCCGGGUCGAUGACGACGUCCUUGGACGCCACGCCCGUGGAGGCGUCCAAGGACGCCGGCACGGUGUCGGUGCCGAGCAGGCGCUCGACGCGGCCGCUCUUGUACACGCGGAUGAAGGGGAACAGCUCGGUCUCAACCACGUCGGCGGCGGCGCUGGAAGCCAUUCCGGCGGUGGGCGCGCUCUGCGAGGUCGAGCUGGUGACCUGGAGCGCGGUGCUGGCGCAGGACAAGUGCAGCAGAGCAAGUAG